rnacentral:tRNA from 1 species
GCCUUCGUAGUGUAACGGUAGCACAUUCGGUGGGUAUUCGAGAGGUCCAGGUUCGAGUCCUGGCGAAGGCA